UACGGGGGGGGGCAAGCGUUUGUUCGGAAUUACUGGGCGUAAAGGGCGCGUAGGUGGCCAACUAAGUCAGACGUGAAAUCCCUCGGCUUAACCGGGGAACUGCGUCUGAUACUGGAUGGCUUGAGUUUGGGGAGAGGGACGCGGAAUUCCGAGUGUAGAGGUGAAAUUCGUAGAUAUCCGGAGGAACACCGGUGGCGAAGGCGGCUUCCUGGACCGACACUGACGCUAGGCGCGAAAGCUAGGGGGAGCAAACGGG
rnacentral:rRNA from 1 species